GGUUCGGUCCGCAGCCGCAGGGUUCCUCCGCAGCUUCUUCCUCUGCUUCCUCGACCUCAUCUUCUUCCUCUGGUUCUUCUCCGGCCGCGCAUGUAUUCCCUCCUCCGCCACGCCCCCGUGCGCGUCUAAGGGUUCCCCAUCGACCUCAUCUUCGCUGAUCUGCUUCGUUAUACCCAUCGAUGGCGGCGGAAGAAAGUAAUUCUAGAGUUCAGGAAGCUGAAAGCAUACGAUAUGUUCUUCUGUAUCCAGAACAAAGGCGCUGUUCAGCAGUUCGAAGAAAAAAGGAAAAGGAAAGGAAAGUUUAGUGCUUAGCCAUGUUUCCACAUAACAAAGUCACUCGCUCCUAGCACAAUAAGUCGCUCGCUCGCUCCAAGAACAUAAGUCGCUCUCUCCAAGAACAUUUGUGCCUGCUUUUGGAACUUAUUUGUACUGAUGCAAUCUUUUUAGAUUUCACUGCGCUGUGCCUAUGUGAAUGCUACUACGCAAUCUGCUUUUUAAUGUAACCUGUUUUGUUUGAAUCAUGUAACCUGAAACAUAUGUCUUUUAUGUGGUA